AUGAAUAAAGGCAUGACACUGAGAUUGAAGGCUAGUUCUACUUCAGAACCACAGAGACAUGAGCACCAGCAAGUUUGAGGUUGGAUAAGGAUCUUCAGAACUCCUCAGCUUCAGAUGGUCAAGCACUGCUUCCUCCCUUCUUCAACGGCAUCUCUAGCAUGUAUACUUCCCUUAAAUCCACCUUCGUAGCAUUUGCUGAUGAUAUGAGAUUGGGGCCCUCAUUCAUACUAACUGGAAUUUUCCUUGGCAAUGGUAGAACAGAAGCUUCUCCAUUCUUUAGAGAUGAAUUUGCUUUAAGUAAGAUCUUCCCAGAGUACAAAAGAAAUUUAUUCGGAAAAUUUCAAACUAAUAUGGCCUUCUCACUGGAACUGGAUCCACCAUCCUUUUCUCUCAGUGUCGUCUUGUUUAUGUUUUAGAUCUUUUGCAAGGUGAGCUACACCUCUGAGAGGAGCUCCUGGAAAUUACCAGAGAUACUUAAUGUUGCCAGCUGUUACAGAUGGAGAUGAUGCACCUUGAUGAUGAAUAAGUACUGAGCCUGAAUCCUACAAAUGGGAAAAGGUGCUCAUAUCAGACUUAUGCAUUAGAUAUCAAACUACAAAAUACAAGUGCAGUUGAUACCUGUUUAGAUGAUGUAGAGCAAGGUAACAGAGUAUGUAUUAAAAGCAAAAAUUCCCAUGAAGCUGAACCGUUACUCUCUGCCAAAACCUCCCAUUCUCAAGUUUUAAGAGCCAAUAAACCUUGUAUCUGUACGUUC